rnacentral:rRNA from 1 species
GACGAACGCUGGCGGCGGGCUUAACACAUGCAAGUCGAACGGAAAGGCCCUGCUUUUGUGGGGUGCUCGAGUGGCGAACGGGUGAGUAACACGUGAGUAACCUGCCCUUGACUUUGGGAUAACUUCAGGAAACUGGGGCUAAUACCGGAUAGGAGCUCCUGCUGCAUGGUGGGGGUUGGAAAGUUUCGGCGGUUGGGGAUGGACUCGCGGCUUAUCAGCUUGUUGGUGGGGUAGUGGCUUACCAAGGCUUUGACGGGUAGCCGGCCUGAGAGGGUGACCGGCCACAAUGGGACUGAGAUACGGCCCAGACUCCUACGGGAGGCAGCGGGGGGGAAUAUUGCACAAUGGGCGGAAGCCUGAUGCAGCAACGCCGCGUGCGGGAUGACGGCCUUCGGGUUGUAAACCGCUUUCGCCUGUGACGAAGCGUGAGUGACGGUAAUGGGUAAAGAAGCACCGGCUAACUACGUG